rnacentral:misc_RNA from 1 species
AAUGACGAGGCAGUUGUUCUUGUGUAUCCUGCAAAAUGCAUCUAAUAUGCUCCAAAACUGUUGUCAUGUUGCUGUUCAGGCUUUGAGACUCCAACAUAGAAACUAUUCUCGACCGAAGUUUCAACACCGGAACAUCGUCAUCCCUAUUAGAGAGCUCUUCAUUACAGGAAUCCUGAUUUUUUGGUGGUUCCAAGUCUGACAGCUUUUCUUUUACUCCCUUGUCUGUUGAAAUAUCAACGGAUGAUGUAGCAUCAUCGUUUUCGGUUUUCG